rnacentral:rRNA from 1 species
GGGGAAUUUUGGACAAUGGGCGCAAGCCUGAUCCAGCCAUGCCGCGUGUCUGAAGAAGGCCUUCGGGUUGUAAAGGACUUUUGUCAGGGAAGAAAAGGCUGUCGCUAAUACCGACAGUUGAUGACGGUACCUGAAGAAUAAGCACCGGCUAACUACGUGCCAGCAGCCGCGGUAAUACGUAGGGUGCGAGCGUUAAUCGGAAUUACUGGGCGUAAAGCGAGCGCAGACGGUUACUUAAGCAGGAUGUGAAAUCCCCGGGCUCAACCUGGGAACUGCGUUCUGAACUGGGUGACUAGAGUGUGUCAGAGGGAGGUAGAAUUCCACGUGUAGCAGUGAAAUGCGUAGAGAUGUGGAGGAAUACCGAUGGCGAAGGCAGCCUCCUGGGAUAACACUGACGUUCAUGCUCGAAAGCGUGGGUAGCAAACAGGAUUAGAUACCCUGGUAGUCCACGCCCUAAACGAUGUCAAUUAGCUGUUGGGCAACUUGAUUGCUUAGUAGCGUAGCUAACGCGUGAAACUGACCGCCUGGGGAGUACGGUCGCAAGAUUA